AGCGAACGCUGGCGGCAGGCCUAACACAUGCAAGUCGAACGGAUCCUUCGGGAUUAGUGGCGGACGGGUGAGUAACACGUGGGAACGUGCCCUUUGGUUCGGAUCAACUCAGGGAAACUUGAGCUAAUACCGGAUAAGCCCUUCGGGGGAAAGAUUUAUCGCCAUUGGAGCGGCCCGCGUAGGAUUAGCUAGUUGGUGGG
rnacentral:rRNA from 1 species